UUCUGUCUACGACUCCCUCUUUGUUUUCUGUACUGCUAACAGGAUCUUAAUGAUAUCUGCUGAGGUUUGUGACUCUUAACCCAAUUCAGCUGAAGAAAGACUCAGACCCAGAGAAGCAUUCCUGCAAUUUCAUAAAACAUGGUGACAGCUUCUGGAAGAAGAGUGUUAAAACUCACAUUGGGACAUCCAGACAGAAUGUCUAUCAGGUCUUGAUGACCAAAACGCUCUGGAAAGAAGUGAAGUAACUUAAUUGCCAUACCCUGAGCAUAAAGUACCCAGCAAGGGACUGGAAAAGUCUCCCAGCUUGCCUGAUAGCCAUGAAUGCAAACGCAAAAGAGAACAUGACAAACAGCACUUAAUCCCAAUAUGAGCAAAGGCUGACGCAUACCCAGAGAAACAACUGUCAGCUAAUACUGGACUGAGACCUCUGGGGAGCUGUAGAGGAGCGAAGUCUCCUCUAUGAAGAUAAAAGGUUAGUGCAGACUCCAAGGUCUUUGGGCAGUGGGAAGUGAGCAGUAUAAUGUUUGGGAUCACCUGAGCUACUGGCAUCCAGCUGCUUAGUUGUAUUGAAGUUUAUUGCACUGGGGUUUUCAUCAAUCAGGAAUGCAUGCGCUUUUUCAAAGAAACUGUGGGGGUCUGUAGAGUCUGAUGGAUAUGCUUAUAAAUUUCAAAGCGGCAGUUUGGAAGGCGAUUUGGAGGGUAGCUGGCAAGACAUGAGCCAUUGUAGAAAAAUGAAUUCACAGGCAGAACUCUUUAGAGAAUAAAUUUGAGAAGGAAAGAAUUAUUCCACCAACCUGCUUUAUUCAUUUAUUUAAAUUUAUGCCAUAAAAUGAACAGCAGAGCAAAGCCAAAACUUGCACUGAUGAUUUUUCUUCUUUUUUCCCCUGCUGCCUUUAAUUUAUUAAACUACUCUGGAUACACCUUUCAAAAGACUUUUUUUUGGCUCACUGUUUAUUAUGUCUUCAUCAGCCUUGAAAUGGGAGCUGCAGGCAGCUUGAUAAAUGGAUCGAAAAGCUGCUUCUGCCAGAUUUAAACAAACAACCCCCCCACUCAAUGUCCAUAAACUCUUUUGUUUUAGCAUUUCUAAAACAAGCGCUAUUACCCUCAGCAAUAUUCCUCAGAGUUUCAGCAAAGGUAUGUCUUUAUCCAGCUAUGCCCAGGGGAGAAGAUCAUCACCGGGUCAUGAGCAGGACUCAGCCUGCAGCACUGGAGGGCAAAGACAGCUGGGGUAUGGUAGAGGGAGAGGCAGACAGUCCUAGAAGGGCUGAGCAAAUCAAUGUGCUGGGCAGAUCAGCGAAGUAAACGAGCCAAGACAUAUGAAUUUGGGUCCUACUCACAGACACCAGCAGCUGUCCUGCUUCCACAAAGCUAUUUUUUACCUGGAUACUUUCUAAAGUUCCUUUUCCUUCCAAUCCUGUGUUAAAUAUGGGCAGCUAAAUAUAUCCCUGGUUCAAACCUUUUGUCUUCAGCACAUUUACUUAGCUCCAUAGCUGGUCCAGCCUGGCCAUAAACCAGGGCUUUAGCUACUGUGAUUUAUUGAUAAAGGUAAGUGGUUCAGUCCCAUCUGUGAAGGUACAAAAUAUUCCUAAGAAAAUAAAUACCCCAUUAGAAAGUGGUAAUGGACCACCAGUUGCAAACCUCCCAGACAGCCAGGUGAAGACAUGUCACAUUUCCUGCUGUACUAAAUAGCACAAAUGUUGCAGUAAGGAGGGAGGGGAAGGGGAUAGGUAACAAUAAAAAAUACACUAAAACAAACAAAAAAGAAAUGAAAAUGUAAGAUGUGUGAGAGGAAGGACCAAAGCUCUAGUAGUGGAUCCUGAUGGCAGAAUGAGGGAGGCUUGUGUUUCUUUCCUCACUAACCUUGUUUCACCUCUACAUUCAAAGCAAAGCAUUGAAUCUCCCCUUAGCUUAAGCUCAUUGGUAUGUAAUUUGCCGCUUGGAUCAUACUGAGAACAGUGCACCCUACUCUCCUAACACAGUUUCCAAUAAGCAGCGAGAGGGCAGCCCCCAGGGGCUGCUGCAAGGAUGCCUGAUGGGUUCUGCCAAAGACAACAGUCGUCUCUGUUCCUACCCAUUGCUUGCCUGGUUUCUGACUCUGUCAUUGGUAGGCUGCCAAGGUCCUCAGCUGGUUAGAUUCCGUCAUCCAAGGAAUGAUUCCAGUGCCAUGGCCAGUGCUGCAGGUUUGUUUCCAAAUUGUGGAGAGCCAAUAUUACUGAGCUAUUGCCACGGCCCUACCCUGUCUCUUUAUUUCAUCUGCUCUAGUCUCUCUUAAGAACCGUCUGACUUCAGAAACAACUUUACUGUUCCUUGAAGCAGGAGGUGAGUAUGAAUGGAGAAGGACAGCAAGAUGGAGGCUGCCUUUCUCUUGCUGGAAAGAUGUGGUGUGCACAAGGCCAUGCAGACAGGCAUACUAAUGGGAAUAAGAGGUAAGAGAUCAGAAGGUACCUUGACCCUUGUGAUUCUCUGGUUGUUUAGAAUGCAUAAUUGCAGUUUGUUUAACACCAAAGGAUAACUGAUCAUUCACAGGAAAGCAGCCAGGGUGGGGAUCAAUAUUUCUUUUGCUGUGCAAGGAAAAUAACAGAAAAGGAAUGGCUCUAACUACUACAGCAAAGCAGAAGAAAUACAUGCUUAAAGCUUCUUGUAGAAGGGGCAAACAGAGGGUUUGCUCAACACUGGCUGUUAUUUCAGUGUUGAGCAUUAGUGAAUGUGCGUAGACCACAGACUGAUGUGUGGAAUAACAACCUGAGGAGAUCCCAGCUGAGCACUUCAAUCUCCAUUUUCUGUGUCAGCCAGUACGGAUGCAUGUUUUUUAUAUAGACAUAAGAGUUACCAAGUGCUGACUUCACUUGGUGGAGCCCAAGCUGAGCUUGCACUGGCACCUGUCGGAUCCUGUAGUAAAAGUGUAGGAUUGGUUUUUCUGCGGGGGCAAAAUCUGAUUUAUCAAAACGUUUAGCUGAAGGGUUUUGUUUCCUAUCAAAUCUUGCUUGAACCCUUCUGGGAGUGUGUCACAGAAGGAGGAAGUGAUCCUUUAAAUAGGUUUCCUUGUAGAGAGUCUUAAUUAUAGGCACUGGCAAGGAAUAUGGAUAAGAAUUAGGUAUAUCUGGACUUAAGUUGAUUGUGCAUCAAUAUCCUGAUCUCGCAUCCACAGGAUGCUAUCUGUAUAUAAUUAUGGUGCUGGUUCCCUGUGAAACAAAACCAAAAGACUGAGAAUUGCCCAGAAAUAAGAGUAUUUGCCAGGUCACCUUGGGUGAGCAGGCCAAGCCUGACUCACCAGCUAUGUGGUGCCACUGCGCACAUUGGCUUGGAGCUGAGGAGCAUCGUGGGUUUCUGUGAGCCUGAAUUGUGCUGUUUGAACAGCAUGUGCAUCUCUUGCUGAGCUUAUCCAGCAACAGACCACUGGAUACUUUUAAGCAAGGAAAAAAGAAAUGAAAACAUGAGAAUAUGUAAAUCAUAAAUCAACAUCAAGGGAUCUGGAACAUGUUCUUUCCAGGGGUGUCUUGUGCACCACACAUAGAGGCUUAGAGUCCAAGGCUGCUGGAAAUCACAGAUUUUCACUCAUCGCACAGGUUUUCGUGGCUCAAGACUGACCUCCAGUGGGCACUGACUAGUGUCGUUGCCCUGUAAAUCUGGGGAAGAUGUGUACAAAUGCUUUUUAAAGGGCAUAUGUUCAGAUUUCAGCGCAGAUAUUUGCUCCCCGACUUCUUCAGGCCCUCCUGGCCUAAAAACAGACCUUGGGAACAGACUGCUGCAGAGAUGAUAAAUACAAUGUGGUUGCAUUUGAGAUAGAAAAUUCUGAAAAUGUUCUCACAAGGCAGGGAAGAAAUAUCCUACCUAUGAUCUCUCUCUCUACAGAGCAAAGUGCUGAGCAAGAAAGGGGCAACAGAGAAGCUUUUGCAGCAGAGUGAAUUACAUUCUGAAUGGGGCUCUAUCCAUCAGAAAGUCUAGGGCUGGAGUUCAUGUGGUACAGUCUCCUCACAGCUGCAAAGUUUGUAUCAUUCCAUUAACUGCAUGGGUCAGCCACCAAAGACCCCAGAAAGGUUGUCCUUUAGCUGCACUGCUAACAGCAUUCAUGUUAAUUAACUCCAAGUGUACAGGCAUGAUUUGUAACUCUGUCUUUGCAGGACAAGGGAGGGGAACACAUCCCAAUUUAAACAGUGGUUCCAAUUUCCAGGGCAGCAAACAGCUGGGAAGAAGUGCACGUGUGUAUAAAGAAUCACCCAGGCUUUUCUUCCUUUCCAGAAAGCACAGAUGACUUCUUCCAAUGGUAGUAAUACAGCUCUAUGACUCCUCUCGUAACUGGCACAUACCUUUUAAAUUGCUGGUGGAAGUUUAGUCCCACCUCCCCAACGUCUUAAAGAUAUUCUUACAGUAUUUCAUAUGUCCUCAACAUAGUUCUGUUCAUGGCUGACCUUUAACAACUCUUUUCUGCUUCUACUAGUGAGGACUCACUGGCACCAUAGCAAAACUUGAUGGACCUCUAGGUGUCCUGGCUGGGUAAUAGCUACUUGACCUCCUGCAGAAGAAAGAAGAUAUUUCCUCUGCCAGUGGAGAACUUUUGUGAAUGCUUCACAUCCCAACCUUGACUGCAGGUCUGUGUGCUCAUCUGCAAGGCAAGAAGUGCAUUUAACAACAGCCAAGGUUGCAAUUCUCCCAGGAAGAGAAGAAAAGAAAGCAGCAUCACUCAUGGAUGACUUUCUGUGCACCAACACAAGAUUCUGUCUAAUACUAAAUACAGAAGAUGCAUUCAAAGAGCCACAAAAUCUUGCAGAAGAAUGGCUCCAUCAUAUGGUGGAUCUAUUGCAGCUGGUAAAAUGGGUUUGAUAGAAAACACAGGCUAAAAUUCCUUCUGUGCUGCAGGAAAAGUUGACUUGCCAGCUACCGUGGCAGGUCUCGCUUCACUUAAGAGUCCUGCAGCGAGAGUCAAAAUAGACUUUGGGGCAAACAAGACAGCCAGUGUGUGUGACAUGCACGGAUUCAGCCGCCUACUGCUCGAUUACAACAAGUGAGUUCUACCACUGUCUACACUGCAUGGUAACUGAAGUGAGCAAACAUUUCUAAGGCUGGAGGAGUGAGCUGCACCAUAAUAAUUACUGGAUCUGCAGUAGCCUUUCCAUGCCUCAUUUGCACAUCCAUUUGGCUUCAGUUCUGUGCUUUGGGAUUUGGGCAAAGAUUUUUCUCCACUGGAAAAAAAAAAAACCAUCCAUAUCACAGAGUCUGCAUAGUACCUGAGGUUGGUGUGGAGGUAACCUUGCUGUAAGAAUAAUAAAGUUUGCUUCAAAUGUUUUUCUCCUAUUGAAAAACCCACCCAGCAGUGAGAUGAUCCCAGAUAGAACUGCAAAAUAAGGUAAGAUAACCCAUCCAUGCCCUCUGAAGCUGAGGAGCAGAACAACGAACAGUCCCCACACAAUGAGACCAGCUCUCCUCUGCAGGAUUGGAGUGUGGAUUACAUGGCCUGAGUACCCCUAGGACCUGAUGAUUUUGGAUUCAGUGGCUUUACUAGGUCAGUUCUCCACCAGGAUUUAGAUCCAUCUGCCAAGUUUGGGAGCCUUAUUCCCCUCACUGAAACUGAAGAUGAGUGUGAGGCUCAGGAGCUUCCCACACAGAUCAUUGCGAAUAGGCAAGGGAAUGAAGGUUGUGCCCGCUGUAUUUCAGAUGCACAAAAAUGUUAUUUGGACAUUUCCUUAUACCAUUGGCACUGAGGCCACAGCUGCUGCAGCACAUUUCUCUCUAUUCUUCCCCAAUACUGGUUUUACAGUGGCUGUACAAAUUUGGCUUAGUCAACCUCUCUUUUCGGGGAGACUAGUUUAGCAUCCAGACUGAUUGAUAGGUAUUUUGCUUAGCCAAGACACCUUCAUUAUCUGCUCAUUUGCAAGCUCUGAUCCACAAUUAGACCUGAGCUGACCCAGAACUCUAUUGAUUUGCUUUGAUCGUACUAAGUGCUAAACAGAUCUCAUCUCAAUGAACAUCUGAAUGUAUUCUACACUACCUUUAAUAAAACAAAUUUCUGCAUCAGAGAGAAAUGACUCAGAUUGGAGGCAAGUUGUUCUCUCAGUACAGCAAGCUGUAUUUAAAUGGGCAGUAAUAUUAACUUUGAAAUGGCAUCUGAAAUAGAUUAGGUAAGGAGAACUGAAUUAGAAAGUCUGAUGUUUUAUUUUUGAAUUCUAUUUCAAGAUCAAUGGCUAAAGGUUAAUGUUGCUUGAAACAAGGAAAGCUUAGUGAUGUCUGGCAGGAUAAAGGAGGGACAUAAAAUGGAGAAGACCUAACAAUCUUGAAACAAUAACCUGUUACGAAGAUAAACAAAGAAACACUGGAGAUUGGAAGUGAAAAAGGACAAAAUGAACUUCAGACAGGGAAAUUAACAGAAUACACCAAAUGAACAACAUAGAUAAAGAUGAAGAAGGAAGACAGAAAGGAAGCAACAAGUAAGCUGUCAAGAAAUAGGAUCACCAUCUAGCUUUACCUUAGUGUGCACUUGUCUGUCUUUCCAAGCAUUUCUUGGUGUGGAAGCUGUUACCACUAAAAAUUUGAGGAAUGGCUCUUUGGCAUUACUAUUUCUAAGAUAGCACUGUGUAUAAACUCGAUCAGUCUCA